GGAUGAAGAAGUGACCUAAAGAGCCUGACUUCCCACAAUGAAAAAGAAAAAGUGAUUGUAUCUGGAUGGCUGUUGCUGUUGAAGAGAGAAACUGCUUUGGAGUGGAGGCAAGACUGGAAUAGCAGAAGCCCUUAGAUGUCACAAGUCACAACUUUCUCUUUGAAGUGAGACUGCAGAUGGAGGCAUAUGCCUUGAUGACUCAGAAAUGGCUGGAUCUGUCAGGAGUCAGGUUGACAUGGAAGAUAAGCACCAAUUUGUGGUACCGGCAGAACAAUGAAAGCAAAGUUCACCAAGGUACAAAGGCAGAAGAUAUUUUCACAGGCCCCAGAAGAUGAACUUCAAGCUGCUACUCCCAAACACAUUCUCCACUGUCUGGAAGACGUGCAAAGGCAGCGUUCUCCAUCUGAAAUCCUUCAAAGUGCUGUGGGAAUAAAAGGCUCCCCGCCAAAAGCCCCAGAGAGAGCUCUAUUGAAACCUCAUGAAUGGAACUGAGAAUUCCUUGUUACAAUACUGUUUGUUUCUUGGGUCCUAUCCUUGUAUCUAAGAGGACAUCAAAAUAAAUGACAAAAACAAGACAUUGUUGGGUUGGUCUAUGAGAAAUUUUCUGAUAGGUGAUUUUGCAUCUAGAUUUCUUUUCUCUGCUAAUCAUUUGCCUUUCUAGUUGGGCGUCAUUUUCACCUUUUCCCUAUUCUGGUGUCAACAUCCAGGUUUAUAUUCACGAUUGUAUUUUUUGUUUCAGCAACAGAGAUUACAAUGUAUG